rnacentral:rRNA from 1 species
AUUGAACGCUGGCGGCAGGCCUAACACAUGCAAGUCGAACGGUAACAGGAAGCAGCUUGCUGCUUUGCUGACGAGUGGCGGACGGGUGAGUAAUGUCUGGGAAACUGCCUGAUGGAGGGGGAUAACUACUGGAAACGGUAGCUAAUACCGCAUAACGUCGCAAGCCCAAAGAGGGGGACCUUCGGGCCUCUUGCCAUCGGAUGUGCCCAGAUGGGAUUAGCUAGUAGGUGGGGUAACGGCUCACCUAGGCGACGAUCCCUAGCUGGUCUGAGAGGAUGACAGGCCACACUGGAACUGAGACACGGUCCAGACUCCUGCGGGAGGCAGCAGUGGGGAAUAUUGCACAAUGGGCGCAAGCCUGAUGCAGCCAUGCCGCGUGUAUGAAGAAGGCCUUCGGGUUGUAAAGUACUUUCAGCGGGGAGGAAGGGAGUAAAGUUAAUACCAUUGCUCAUUGACGUUACCCGCAGAAGAAGCACCGGCUAACUCCGUG